rnacentral:rRNA from 1 species
UAGGGAAUCUUCGGCAAUGGACGAAAGUCUGACCGAGCAACGCCGCGUGAGUGAAGAAGGUUUUCGGAUCGUAAAGCUCUGUUGUAAGAGAAGAACGAGUGUGAGAGUGGAAAGUUCACACUGUGACGGUAUCUUACCAGAAAGGGACGGCUAACUACGUGCCAGCAGCCGCGGUAAUACGUAGGUCCCAAGCGUUGUCCGGAUUUAUUGGGCGUAAAGCGAGCGCAGGCGGUUAGAUAAGUCUGAAGUUAAAGGCUGUGGCUUAACCAUAGUACGCUUUGGAAACUGUUUAACUUGAGUGCAAGAGGGGAGAGUGGAAUUCCAUGUGUAGCGGUGAAAUGCGUAGAUAUAUGGAGGAACACCGGUGGCGAAAGCGGCUCUCUGGCUUGUAACUGACGCUGAGGCUCGAAAGCGUGGGGAGCAAACAGGAUUAGAUACCCUGGUAGUCCACNCCGUAAACGAUGAGUGCUAGGUGUUAGACCCUUUUCCGGGGUUUAGUGCCGCAGCUAACGCAUUAAGCACUCCGCCUGGGGAGUACGACCGCAAGGUUG